CCUACGGGGCGCAGCAGUCGAGAAUCAUUCACAAUGGGGGAAACCCUGAUGGUGCGACGCCGCGUGGGGGAAUGAAGGUCUUCGGAUUGUAAACCCCUGUCAUGUGGGAGCAAAUUAAAAAGAUAGUACCACAAGAGGAAGAGACGGCUAACUCUGUGCCAGCAGCCGCGGUAAUACAGAGGUCUCAAGCGUUGUUCGGAAUCACUGGGCGUAAAGUGUGCGUAGGCUGUUGCGUAAGUCGGGUGUGAAAGGCGCGGGCUCAACCCGCGGACGGCACAUGAUACUGCCAGACUAGAGUAAUGGAGGGGGAACCGGAAUUCUCGGUGUAGCAGUGAAAUGCGUAGAUAUCGAGAGGAACACUCGUGGCGAAGGCAGGUUCCUGGACGUUAACUGACGCUGAGGCACGAAGGCCAGGGGAGCGAAAGGGAUUAGAUACCCUUGUAGUC
rnacentral:rRNA from 1 species